GGCGGACGUCCGCACAGAUGCAAAAGUGCGGACGUCCAUCCUCAUGUAUCGAUCAGGCGUUGAUGGCGGCGUUUUUGUUGCUGGAAGAAAACUCUGGACAUCCUGGAUGACAUCUCCAUCAAGGCGAAUGCGAAGGCGAUCGAAUUCUCAGAGAUGCGCAGCGAGCUCGCCUGAAACCAUGGAAACACCAUCAAGGUCGACUUCGAACUCUUCAUCGACGAGUCCAACAACAAGAAGAGGCUCGACAUCGAGGCCUAGUUUUAACCGGCAAGAGCAGCACCGCCCAUCAAUGCUUGAUGCAGCUGUAAGGACGAACGUCUGCUUUUGACUGUGUGUGUGUGUAUAACCAUGGGCGUAG
rnacentral:lncRNA from 1 species